GACGAACGCUGGCGGCGUGCCUAAUACAUGCAAGUCGAACGCAGUUGGGACGGGUGAGUAACACGUGGGUAACCUCCCCUCAGAGGUGAUAACACUUGGAAACAGGUGCUAAACCGAUACUGAUGGAUGGACCCGCGGUACAUUAGCUAGUUGGUGAGGUAACGGCUCACCAAGGCCACGAUGCAUAGCCGACCUGCGAGGGUGUUCGGCCGCACGGGGACACAGACACGGCCCAGCCUCCUGCGGGGGGCAGCAGUAGGGAAUCUUCGGCAAUGGACGAAAGUCUGACCGAGCAACGCCGCGUGAUUGAAGAAGGUUUUCGGAUCGUAAAACUCUGUUGUUAGAGAAGCGGUAUCUAACCAGAAAGCCACGGCUAACUACGAGCCAGCAGCCGCGGAAAUUC
rnacentral:rRNA from 1 species